GUAAAAAAAGACCUGCUUCUCCUGGUGUUGUAUCCUUGCUGGACGGAGAUGGUGAAGAUGCUGGAGGCGGCCAAGCCAGCACAGUAUGGGGUAGAUUUGACAAGGGACAAGAAAAGAAGGCCACCUCCCCUCCAGACAUUCCGAUCAGAGAAAAGAGACAAUUCGAAGCCAACCCAAAGAGACGUCCAAGACCUUGUCUGGGCUGCCUAUCUGUAAUAUCAGCUAAAAAGGAGGCUCCUGUAACACAUACAGCUGAUCCUGUCCUAAUGUGAAGGUGGAUCCAACAAGUGACGUCGUGAUCCUGCCAGUCAAAGUGCAGAAAAAUCACAGUCAAAUGCAUGUUGGCCUGAUAACCAAAUAUUGUUCUUUUUUUUUUUUUUUUUUAAAUCCUGCGCUAGUAAAUCAUGUAUCUGUGUCAGGAUAGCAUAUACAGCAUGCUCAUGCCUAAGUAAACAAACAUUUUAAGAACAUAAGAAAGUUUACAAACGAGAGGAGGCCAUUCGGCCCAUCUUGCUCUUUUGGUUGUUAGUAGCUUAUUGAUCCCAGAAUCUCAUCAAGCAGCUUCUUGAAGGAUCCCAGGGUGUCGGCUUCAACAACAUUACUGGGGAGCGGGUU